rnacentral:tRNA from 1 species
GGGCCUCUAGCUCAUCUGGUAGAGCGCAUCCAUGGCAUGGAUGAGGUGAGGGGUUCGAGUCCCCUGAGGUCCACCA